AGCCAUGCAUGUCUAAGUAUAAGCAAUCUAUACGGUGAAACUGCGAAUGGCUCAUUAAAUCAGUUAUCGUUUAUUUGAUAGUACCUUACUACUUGGAUAACCGUGGUAAUUCUAGAGCUAAUACAUGCUAAAAACCUCGACUUCGGAAGGGGUGUAUUUAUUAGAUAAAAAACCAAUGCCCUUCGGGGCUCCUUGGUGAUUCAUAAUAACUUAACGAAUCGCAUGGCCUUGUGCCGGCGAUGGUUCAUUCAAAUUUCUGCCCUAUCAACUUUCGAUGGUAGAGUAGUGGUCUACCAUGGUUU
rnacentral:rRNA from 1 species